rnacentral:rRNA from 1 species
ACCCAGGCUCAUCGAGUAUAUCAGUCAGAUGUACAAGUCGGCAGCUACCGAAAUUGACGCAGGCGACCCGUUAACAUCCAAAGGGGCGUCCUGCAGGGGAUCCCUCUCCCCCUACCUGUUUAACAUAUGCCUAGACUGGGCCCUGGCUACUCUCCCAAAGAGAUCGGGGUCAAGGUGGGUAGUUGCCACAUCAACUAUCUCGCCUUCGCCGAUGAUGUGGCGCUUCUUGCUUCGACUCGCCCCGGCCUCCAGGCCGCCCUCGAUCGCCUAACAGAGGCAGCGGCGGCCUCGGGGCUCGAGGUGGGAAUUGGCAAGUGCGCCACGCUCGGCAUAGUAGCCGACAAAAAGAGAAGAACAUGGGCCCAAGAUACAACCCCCUUUAAGAUCACGGGGAGGCCUGUGCAAGCUCUGGCACCCGGGGAAUUCUAUAAGUACCUGGGUGUCCAGAUGGGCGCCAGCGGAGGGCUACGGCGUUCCGAGCGCACGAAGACCUGGUGCGCAAGCUUGCCAGGCUGAGGAAAGCACCGGCAAAGCCCCAGCAAAAGCUCUGGGGCUUAACGAAGAUCAUUGUCCCUCAGCUACUGUACCCACUGGUAAACAUGGCUGCUACGGCCGGCCAGCUAGGCCGUAUAGACAAGGCCGUCAGACGGGCAGUCCGGUCCUACCUCCACCUCCAAUGGAUACCCCCCUGGGGUUCUUCCAUGCGGCAGAAGUGGACGGAGGACUGUCACACGGGUGCCUCGCCUCAAGGAGGAUCUUCUCCAGAGGUUGAGAGAUUCCAGCGACCCGGUGGUUCAGCACGCCGUGCACCCAGUGGGCAGGUGCCUCCUCCAAGCAGUACACCACGCUUGAGGAAGGCGGCUGAGAGGAGCCGGUGGUCUAGGCAGCUGCACGAGGCAGUUGAUGGCUCGGGGCUAAGGUGCCUCUGAGACACCUGCCUCAAGCAGCUGGAUACAAGACGGUACACUUCUCCUCAAGGGGGGCGAUUUCUGCCGAGCAGUGAAGCUGCGGGGCAACCUGCUCAGUACGAAAGCCCGACUCGCGAGGGGGAGGCGGUGGACGAUGUCAACUGCGACCUCUGCCGCAGACACCCGGAGAGCCUGGGCCACAUAAUGCAGCGCUGUCCUGCGGUCCAGGUUGCUCGUACUCGUCGCCACGACCGAAUACUCGACUUUGUAGCGGGCAGGCUUGAGGAUGCGGGUUUCAAGGUUCUCAAAGAACCAGCUAUACCAACCACAGCGGGAACCCGCAUCCCCGACAUCGUAGCCGCCCGCGAGGACUGGGGCUCGGUAGUGCUAGAUGUUCAGGUGGUCGCUGAUGCGGCUGCAGGGGAUUUGAACACUGCACACCAAAGAAAAUACGCCUACUAUGAUGUUCCUGACAUCAGGCGUUGGGUCCAGUCCACAACAGGGUACCCCUCCUGCCUCUCUACCAUCACCGUGAGCUGGAGGGGCAUCCUAGCCCGCCCCACAGUGUAUACCUGGAAGGAACUUGGGCUACGCAAGUCAGACUUAAAAGUCCUGGUAGCCCGAGUCCUAGAGGGCGGACUAAAUAUAUACAGAGAGUUCUCAAGACAAGUGGGGGGGUGGCCCACCACCCCGGCUGAUAGGGGCUAGCAGUCCCCAUCAUUUAUAAUAGAGGCAAAAUUCCUCCUCACCACAAAUACAUGCUUUCGGCGUUUUCGCGUUUAUUUAGAUCAUUUUAAGCUGAGCGCUGCGUUUAUAACAGCAGCGUCCCAGCAGAAUUAGGCUUUUAAAAUGAAUAUCAAAAUAAAUUAUUAAUUGAAAAUUAUAUAAACAUAUAAAAUCACAAUAAAAGUAAUAAUUAUAUUUAAAUAAAAUAAAUAAAUCAAUCAAAUAAAUUAAUAACUCUAUUAUAAAUAAGAAACUUUGCACAGAGAGUAAAAAAAAAAAAAAAAAAAAAAAAAAAAAAAAAAAAAAAAAAAAAAAAAUAGCAAAAUGCCCUCGUCAUCUAAUUAGUGACGCGCAUGAAUGGAUUAACGAGAUUCCCACUGUCCCUAUCUACUAUCUAGCGAACCCACAGGCAGGGGAACGGGCCUGCGCCUAACAGCGGGGAAAGAAGACCCUGUUGAGCUUGACUCUAGUCUGAUUUUGUAGAGAGACAUCAGAGGUGUAGCAUAAGUGGGAGGUCGUCACAUCAGGGGCUUGCUCCGUGCGGCCGACAAUGAAAUACCACUACUCUGAUCGUUUCUUUACUUACUCGGUGAGACGGAAUCGGAGCUUCCCCACGUGGGAUUGCCUCCUGUUUCUAGCCUAAAGCGGCGGAAGGGAGGGCGCGCUUGGUUUCGGCCUUGCGUUAGCCUGACCGGGCGUUCGCGCCCGCCGCGAUCCGCUCCGAGGACAUUAUCAGGUGGGGAGUUUGACUGGGGCGGUACAUCUGUCAAACGAUAACGCAGGUGUCCUAAGGCCAGCUCAGCGUGGACAGAAACCUCGCGUAGAGCAAAAGGGCAAAUGCUGGCUUGAUCCUGAUUUCAGUACGAAUACGGACUGCGAAAGCAGGGCCUAUCGAUCCUUUUGACUUUAUGAGUUUUAAGAGGUGUCAGAAAAGUUACCACAGGGAUAACUGGCUUGUGGCCAAGCGUUCAUAGCGACGUCGCUUUUUGAUCCUUCGAUGUCGGCUCUUCCUAUCAUUGUGAAGCAGAAUUCACCAAGCGUUGGAUUGUUCACCCAUAAAAAGGGAACGUGAGCUGGGUUUAGACCGUCGCGAGACAGGUUAGUUUUACCCUACUGUUGGCAGUUGUGUCGUUGAUACAGCAGUCCUGCUCAGUACGAGAGGAACGGCAGGUCCGGACAUAUGGUUCCGCUCUUGGUCGAUCGGCCAGUGGAGCGAGGCUACGUCCGUGGGAUUAUGCCUGAAAGCCUCUAAGGCAGAAUCCCGGCUGGAUGACCAACGAUACCGCGUACGGCCUGCAUCGGGAUGGUCACCAUUGAAUUUUCGAGAGAUUCGCUCCCCGCUCGUUCGCGGGCGGGGCUAGAAGAUGGACCCGUGCAGAGGGAACUCGGGAGUGCCUCGACAAACAGGUUCAGGCUCUCCCCUCCCUAGUAGAGAACACCCAGAUGCUGAUGUGCCGUACCGAAUCGUUCGCAGACGACUUAC